GACGAACGCUGGCGGCGCGCUUAACACAUGCAAGUCGAACGGAAAGGCCUGCUUUCCCUUGUGGAUUGCGGGUACUCGAGUGGCGAACGGGUGAGUAACACGUGAGUGAUCUGCCCCCAACUUGGGUAUAAGCCUGGGAAACUGGGUCUAAUUCCCGAUAGGACUGCAGGGUGGUGCCUGUGGUGGAAAACGAUUUUCUAGUGGUUGGGGAUGAGCUCGCGGCCUAUCAGCUUGUUGGUGGGGUAAUGGCCUACCAAGGCGGCGACGGGUAGCCGGCCUGAGAGGGUGGACGGCGACAUUGAGACUGAGAUACGGCCCAGACGCCUACGGGAGGCAGCAGUGGGGAAUAUUGGACAAUGGGCGGAAGCCUGAUGCAGCGACGCCGCGUGGGGGAUGACGGCCUUCGGGUUGUAAACUCCUUUCGACCGCGAGGAAGCCACCUGGUUGGAAGGGUGGUGACGGUAGUGGUAGAAGAAGCACCGGCUAACUACGUG
rnacentral:rRNA from 1 species